rnacentral:lncRNA from 1 species
GACAAUCGAUUGUUGACUAUUUUGAAAAAAUUCCAGAUCACACUGUCUCACGACAAUCGAUUAUUAAAUUUAGACAAUCGAUUGUUGGCUAUUUUGAAAAAUUCCGGAGCACACUGCCUUAAGACAAUCGAUUGUUAAACAUAGACAAUCGAUUGUCGAACAUUGACAAUCGAUUGUUGGACAUUGACAAUCGAUUGUUUGUAGUUUUUAAUGAGAAAUAUUAGAUAAUCGACUAACUGUUAGGUUAGUCGAUUACCGCUACUG